rnacentral:rRNA from 1 species
GGCCUACCAUGGUGGUAACGGGUAACGGGGUGUUAGGGCACGACACCGGAGAGGGAGCUGAGAAACGGCUACCACAUCCAAGGAUGGCAGCAGGCGCGCAAAUUACCCAAUCCCGACACGGGGAGGUAGUGACAAUAAAUAACAAUACGGGGUUCUUUAGGAUUUCGUAAUUGGAAUGAGUACAAUUUAAAUCUCUUAACGAGGAACAAUUGGAGGGCAAGUCUGGUGCCAGCAGCCGCGGUAAUUCCAGCUCCAAUAGCGUAUAUUAAAGUUGUCGCAGUUAAAAAGCUCGUAGUUGAAUUUCGGGAUCAAUAUGUUGGUCGUGCCUCGGUACGUACUAGCUUAUUGGUUUCUCCUUUCUGAAGAACCAUGAUGUCAUUUAUUUGGUGUCGUGGGGAAUCAGGACUGUUACUUUGAAAAAAUUAGAGUGUUUAAAGCAGGCUCACGCUUGAAUACAUUAGCAUGGAAUAAUGAAAUAGGACGUUUGAUUCUAUUUUGUUGGUUUCUAGGAUCGACGUAAUGAUUAAUAGGGAUAGUUGGGGGCAUUAGUAUUCAAUUGUCAGAGGUGAAAUUCUUGGAUUUAUUGAAGACUAACUACUGCGAAAGCAUUUGCCAAGGAUGUUUUCAUUAAUCAAGAACGAAAGUUAGGGGAUCGAAGACGAUCAGAUACCGUCGUAGUCUUAACCAUAAACUAUGCCGACUAGGGAUCGGAUGAUGUUAAUUUUUUAAUGACUCAUUCGGCGCCUUACGGGAAACCAAAGUGUUUGGGUUC